GUGCUUGCUCCAGUAGCACAUACACUAUAACUAGGACAAUACAGAGAUUAGCAUGGCGCCCAUGCAAGGAUGACAUGCUAAUUUGUGAAGUGCUCCAUAUUUUU